CAGUAGCCGCGGUAAUACGUAGGGUGCGAGCGUUAAUCGGAGUUACUGGGCGUAAAGCGUGCGCAGGCGGUUGUGUAAGACAGGUGUGAAAUCCCGGGGCUUAACCUGGGAACUGCGCUUGUGACUGCACAGCUAGAGUAUGGCAGAGGGGGGUGGAAUUCCACGUGUAGCAGUAAAAUGCGUAGAGAUGUGGAGGAACACCGAUGGCGAAGGCAGCCCCCUGGGCCAAUACUGACGCUCAUGCACGAAAGCGUGGGGAGCGAACAAGAUUAGAUACCCGCGUAGUCCCUGUCUCUUAUAC
rnacentral:rRNA from 1 species